GGCCCCAUCGUCUAACGGUUAGGACACUGGAUUUUCAGUCCAGGUAUAGGGGUUCAAAUCCCCUUGGGGUCAC
rnacentral:tRNA from 1 species